rnacentral:rRNA from 1 species
CAUUAUUGAAAUAAACCUGAUGAGUUGCUGCUGGCCCUCUAGAGAGCAUGUGCACACUUAUCAUCUUUAUAUUUCCACCUGUGAACCUUUUGUAGACCUGAAUAUCUCUCUGAAAAUGCCCUUGGCAUAUUUGAAGUGUUGAGGAUUGACUUUUUGUCCUUUCCUUAAUUUUUCAGGUUUAUGUUUUCCACAUACCCCAUGUAUGUUUAUAGAGUGUAAUAAGUGGGCCUUUAGUGCCUAUAAACUUAUACAACUUUCAGCAACGGAUCUCUUGGCUCUCGCAUCGAUGAAGAACGCAGCGAAAUGCGAUAAGUAAUGUGAAUUGCAGAAUUCAGUGAAUCAUCGAAUCUUUGAACGCAUCUUGCGCUCCUUGGUAUUCCGAGGAGCAUGCCUGUUUGAGUGUCAUUAAUAUAUCAACCUCUUCAGCUUUUUGUUGGGUGUUGGAUGUUGGGGGUUUCCUUUGCUGAACUCUCUUUUUGAGGUCAGCUCCCCUAAAAUGCAUUAGCAAAACAAUUUGUUUACUGCUCAUUGGUGUGAUAAACUAUCUACGCUAUUGACGUAAAGCAUGGUUUAGCUUCUAACAGUCUAUUGACUUGGACAAACCUUUCAUUAAUGUGACCUCAAAUCAGGUAGGACUACCCGCUGAACUUAA